rnacentral:lncRNA from 1 species
GGAAGCCAAAGUAUCUGAUGCACUGGAGAAUGAAAACCCGUUCAAAAUCAGUGACCGGAUCUCACUCUGGCACCUAGACUGGAGGGUACUGGCAUGAACUCCUGGGCUCAGAUGUCCUCCCACCUCCACCUUCUGAGUAGCCGGAAUUACAGGAAUGAACCAUCAUGCUCAGAUUUCAAGCUCCCUGAAGAUGAAGGCUGAAUCCUACACCUCGCUUGUAUCCUCCAUGGCUCAUUGAACAAGUGCUAGCUAGCUACAUGGAGACUGCUCAAUAAAUAUUGAAUAACUCACGAGGGACUCAA